rnacentral:lncRNA from 1 species
AAUCUCUUUAAAAUCAGAAACGGGGUAAAGCAAUCUAUUUUCACCAAAUCAUCAAUGUUGUGUCAUAGACGCAACCCAUACUAACAUAAAGAAUUUUCUUCUAUAUGGAAGAGUAUACAAAUGUUUUUAAUGCACAUUCACAAGGCUGCAUAUUUUACCCACAAAAGUAACAUUUCUAAGUCAACUGAGCAAUGCUCAGGAAAAGAUCUUGAAUAAAAUGUAACUAAUAUAUACUAAACUUGGAACUAAUUCGUGCCUGGCUUUGGGGGUGGGAAUGGGGCUUUAAUUCAAAAUACUUGGAAGUUUCCUGUUCGCAAAAUGUGAAGAGACUCAUUUAAACUUAAGUGAGACACAUUUAGCUAAUCUAACUGUAUUAGAAAAAAAGACUGAAUCUGUAGUCAGAUUUAUCACUCCUUUAGUGUGUGUAAUUCAGGAGCCCUCUGUGGAAAUUAAGUCAUUCAGGACAAUAAUGAAAGAGGAAUUGUUGAAAUUCUUAUCCUAAUUGGGUGAAUUUAGGUACCUUAUUCCUGUAGGUUGUUAUAUUUAAUAUAUUGUAACAAAUAACCAUAACCAGUGGGGCCUCAGACAAAAGAAAUUUGAGUCUGACUACAAAUAUGAAUGCUCGAAGUAGGUCUACUUGGCAUCCCCUGGAUUGUGAUGGCAUUACUUCAGUUUCUGUCUUUGUCUUACAUGGCUAUCAUUCUGUUUCUCUCUCUGCCUUUGAACAUUCUUCUCUUUAAAAGGACACCAGUCGAUGGAUUUGGAGCUCGUCGUUAGUAUGACCAUACUUUAGCAAAUUUCAUUUCAAUGAGCAUAUUUCCAAAUAGGGUCACAUACUGAGGUUUGGGGUUGACAUGAAUUUGUGAGGGAUGUUAGUCAAUAAAGUAAUAAUAUUUUAUUUGAAAUAGUAGUCAGUUGUAUAGUAGUAGCUCAAAGCCAUCUGUAUUAAGUGAAUUAUAUGUUCUUAUAAGUAGUUAGAAAUCGAAAACUAUACUCAUGCUUUUAGAACUAUGUAGUUUCAUGCCUACCUCUCCUGGGUAUCCACCCAACUACCUCUCUAGAGAUUAAUCUCUUGUAUAACCUGACUAUAUCACCCCAUUCUAACCUGCACCUCUUUCCUGCUCUGGAACCCACCCCAGGUAUUUCUUCUACAUACACAUUUCAGUCUAGCUAGAUAUGCUUGCCUUGGGCUUCCAAUCACCCUGGUAUUUUCAUCUCUCUUGCACUUCCAAAGAAAAUCUCCCUCACAUUUGCUCUGAACUGGCCAUCCUCUUUCCAUCUCAUUCAUUAAGCAUCUUCUUUCCAUUCACCAAAUAGUUGUUCAUCUUUCCAGUUUCCCUGAAUAUGUGGCUAGUUAUUUUAAGACCGAAAAACUAUAUGUAACAUGUAAUAAGCACAGAAAACUCUAUGCAAACAAAUGAAUAAACAGCUUAAUGAGAGUUAACGCACAGAACUAGACACUGAGUGAAAAAUGGAGCAGAGAUUUUGAUCAUAGAAGGUUUGAACCUGUAAGAGCUGAUAAGUUUACAAAUUGCCCUAUUUGCACAGUGACCAUACCAGUUACAAAGGAGAAUUAAGUGAAAUGCAUUAAGGGAUGGCCAGCUUGAGUGAUGAUACCAACCAUGAUGUAAUCUCUCAAGAAGAUUUUUAUUUCCUUUGAUUUGUUAUUCUGGCUAGAUGCUGAUGCAUUAGCAUUGUUCACAGAUAUCUGUAAGCUAGACAUUGGACAUAGUGAUCAUGUGAGAGAAAUUGGUAACAGAAUGAAAAAGCAAAUAAAUGGUUAUAGCAAUAUGAGGAAAUACUGGCCUACUCAUUUCCAAUAUAGGAUUGCUUUCAUGGUUAGGUUCCUAUAGUGAAAACCAAGCAAAAGUAAAAAGGAAACUAAAUCUCAGAGGCUUUAUGUGCUGGUGGGAGUAGAACACACUACAGCAGAAUAAAAGGGAGAGCAUGGUCAGAGCAGUCCAUCAGACUUUCUGGUCAGGAGAAGCCUAUAAAGGAGUAGGGUAGACAGAUGUAGCUGUCUCUUGUGAGACUAUGCCGGGGCCUAGCAAACACAGAAGUGGAUGCUCACAGUCAGCUAAUGGAUGGAUCACAGGGCUCCCAAUGGAGGAGCUAGAGAAAGUAGCCAAGGAGCUAAAGGGGUCUGCAACCCUAUAGGUGGAACAACAUUAUGAACUAACCAGUACCCCGGAGCUCUUGACUCUAGCUGCAUAUGUAUCAAAAGAUGGCCUAGUCGGCCAUCACUGGAAAGAGAGGCCCAUUGGACACGCAAACUUUAUAUGCCCCAGUACAGGGGAACGCCAGGGCCAAAAAGGGGGAGUGGGGGCGUAGGGGAGUGGGAGUAGGUGGGUAUGGGGGACUUUUGGUAUAGCAUUGGAAAUAAAAAUAAUAAAAAAUAAUAAAAAUGG